UCUUCCUUUUGUCUUUAACAUUUCAGGUGUCGAUGUGUGCGAUGCCAGGAAAGGUCAGGAGAUGAUUUACUGAACAUUUAUGGAGGCUUUAUCUUCAGUCCUUGUCACCAAGUCGGGCGAUGCUUCAUAGUGGGUCGUCUAACAGACGUGGAAAAAGAGAGAGCGUGACAACGCCACAACCCCUGAGUUCCGCAAUGACACAGUCUUUAACCAGUCCAACUCUUGGCAGGUACAGAACACUAAAGGACCAUUUUAUUUCUAAAUGAGUCUGAAUGGCACACCACAAAGACUGGAAAUGCUGCUGCCCUUUCAUUUUAAAUGGCUAUCGGGUUCAUCCUGCACAUAAAACCCAUCACAGAAAAUGAAUAUAAGCGGUUGGAGAAGAGACUGGAGAUGUGAACUGUCCCUCUGGAACGGGCUGCCAUUAAGUUUACUAAAA